CCUACGGGUGGCAGCAGUGGGGAAUAUUGCGCAAUGGGCGAAAGCCUGACGCAGCGACGCCGCGUGAGGGAUGAAGGCCUUCGGAUCGUAAACCUCUGUUAGCAGGGAAGAACGGUCACUGUGCUAAUCAGCAGUGAAUUGACGGUACCUGCAAAGGAAGCACCGGCUAACUCCGUGCCAGCAGCCGCGGUAAUACGGAGGGUGCGAGUGUUAAUCGGAUUUACUGGGCGUAAAGCGCGCGUAGGCGGUAUGUCAAGUCAAGGGUGAAAGCCCUGCGCUCAACGUGAGAACUGCCUUUGAAACUGGCAGACUGGAGUGUGUGAGAGGAUGGUGGAAUUCCGGGUGUAGGAGUGAAAUCCGUAGAUAUCUGGAGGAACAUCAGUGGCGAAGGCGACUUUCUGGCACGUAACUGACGCUGAGGAGCGAAAGCGUGGGUAGCAAACAGGAUUAGAUACCCCUGUAGUC
rnacentral:rRNA from 1 species